GAUGAACGCUGGCGGCGUGCCUAAUACAUGCAAGUCGAGCGAACAGACGAGGAGCUUGCUCCUCUAACGUUAGCGGCAGGCGGGUGAGUAACACGUGGAUAACCUACUUAUAAGACUGGGAUAGCUUCGGGAAUCGGGAGCUAAUACCGGAUAAUAUAUUGAACCGCAUGGUUCAAUAGUGAAAUACGGUUGUGCUGGCACUUAUAGAUGUAUCCGCGCUGCAUUAGCUAGUUGGUAAGGUAACAGCUUACCAAGGCAACGAUGCGUAGCCGACCUGAGAGGGUGAUCGGCCACACUGGAACUGAGACACGGUCAAGACUCCUACGGGAGGCAGCAGUAGGGAAUCUUCCGCAAUGGGCGAAAGCCUGACGGAGCACCGCCGCGUGAGUGAUGAAGGUCUUCGGAUCGUAAAACUCUGUUAUUAGGGAAGAACAAAUGUGUAAGUAACUAUGCACGUCUUGACGGUACCUAAUCAGAAAGCAACGGCUAACUACGUG
rnacentral:rRNA from 1 species